rnacentral:rRNA from 1 species
CCUACGGGAGGCAGCAGUCGAGAAUCAUUCACAAUGGGGGAAACCCUGAUGGUGCGACGCCGCGUGGGUGAAUGAAGGUCUUCGGAUGGUAAACACUUGUCAUGUGGGAGCAAAUUAUAAAGAUAGUAACACAAGAGGAAGAGACGGCUAACUCGGUGCCAGCAGCCGAGGUAAUACGGAGGUUCCACGCGUUGUUCGGAAUCACUGGGCGUAAAGCGAGCGUAGGCGGUUUCGUAAGUCGGAUGUGAAAGGCGCGGGCUCAACCCGGGAACGGCAUAUGAUACUGGGAGACUAGAGUAACGUAGAGGGAACUGGAAUUCCAGGUGUAGCAGUGAAAUGCGUAGAGAUCGGGAGGAAUACUCGUGGCGAAGGCGGGUUCCUGGAC